UCAUCCAUGUAUCAUUCACCAUUAUUUUAUCUAGUCACUCUCUAAUAUUUGUUUCUGGUAAAUUCCCCCUUUCCCAUGUAAACCAAACCCCAAAAUAUCUAACAUCCAUUAACUAACUUUCCUCCAAAACCCCUCUAAAAACCUUCAUUCUCCUUUCAUCUCUUAGCACCCCCAACUUUUUCAAAGGAGUACAUUAUCUCAUUAAAAUC
rnacentral:lncRNA from 1 species